ensembl:lncRNA
GCCUCCUCUGCUGUGGUCCACAGUGGUGACGGAAAGGAAGUGGAAGUGGGAGGAACUGGAGGGUCAACGGUCAAAGACUUGACAAAGAUAAAGGACGCCGGUGAGAUAAAGAUGCUGAUUUCAGAGCUACAAAAGGAGCUUGCUGAGCUCGAGAAGCAUAACGAGGAAUUGGAGGACGAGGUUGAAAUGAAGAAGGCUGCAUACAUGGAUGAGAUUGCUGAUCUAGAGGCGACUAUAGAUGAAAUGAAGUGUCAGAAGGCCAAUUUCCAAGAACAGAUGAAGGAGCAGUGUGAAGACUAUAAGUUUCUGCUCACUCAGAAGAUGGCCAGAGACAUGGAGAUUGCUGCUUACAGGAAAUGUGCUGUGGUUUCCUGUGCGCGACCUUGAAGAAGUUUCAUGUCAUCCCCUCUGUUCAUUGAGGUUGUUUAACCAUCUGCCAUCCUGGUAUGUGGAGUGACGCA